UACUACCUUGGAGUGGGGAAUAACGGCUGGAAACAGCCGCUAAUACCGCAUGAUGCGUCUGGGCCGCAUGGCUCUGGGCGCCAAAGAUUCAUCGCUCUGAGAUGAGCUCGCGUCUGAUUAGCUAGUUGGCGGGGCAACGGCCCACCAAGGCGACGAUCAGUAGCCGGACUGAGAGGUUGGCCGGCCACAUUGGGACUGAGACACGGCCCAGACUCCUACGGGAGGCAGCAG
rnacentral:rRNA from 1 species